UGCUUAACACAUGCAAGUCGAACGAAGAGCGAUGGAAGCUUGCUUCUAUCAAUCUUAGUGGCGAACGGGUGAGUAACGCGUAAUCAACCUGCCCUUCAGAGGGGGACAACAGUUGGAAACGACUGCUAAUACCGCAUACGAUCUAACCUUGGCAUCGAGGAUGGAUGAAAGGUGGCCUCUAUUUAUAAGCUAUCACUGAAGGAGGGGAUUGCGUCUGAUUAGCUAGUUGGAGGGGUAACGGCCCACCAAGGCGAUGAUCAGUAGCCGGUCUGAGAGGAUGAACGGCCACAUUGGGACUGAGACACGGCCCAGACUCCUACGGGAGGCAGCAGUGGGGAAUCUUCCGCAAUGGACGAAAGUCUGACGGAGCAACGCCGCGUGAGUGAAGAAGGUUUUCGGAUCGUAAAGCUCUGUUAUUGGGGAAGAAACAGUGACGGUACCCAAUGAG
rnacentral:rRNA from 1 species